rnacentral:rRNA from 1 species
UACGUAGGGUGCAAGCGUUGUCCGGAAUUAUUGGGCGUAAAGAGCUCGUAGGCGGCUUGUCGCGUCGGCUGUGAAAACCUGGGGCUCAACCCCGGGCCUGCAGCCGAUACGGGCAAGCUAGAAUUCGGUAGGGGAGACUGGAAUUCCUGGUGUAGCGGUGAAAUGCGCAGAUAUCAGGAGGAACACCGGUGGCGAAGGCGGCAUCCUGGACCGGCAUUGACGCUGAGUGAGCGAAAGCUAGGGGAGCAAACGGG